CUCUUCGGAUGGUGAGUACACCGGCGGACGGGUGAGUAACGCGUGAGGAACCUACCCUGCAGACCGGGAUAACCCAUCGAAAGGUGGGCUAAUACUGGAUAAGCGCACGUGCUUCAUGGCAUGUGUGAAAAGGCAGGCGUAAGCUUGUGCUGCGGGAUGGUCUCGCGUCCCAUUAGCUAGUUGGUGAGGUAAUGGCUCACCAAGGCGACGAUGGGUAGCCGGCCUGAGAGGGUGGCCGGCCACACUGGGACUGAGACACGGCCCAGACUCCUACGGGAGGCAGCAGUGGGGAAUAUUGCGCAAUGCCGGAAACGGUGACGCAGCGACGCCGCGUGGGUGAGGAAGGCCUUCGGGUCGUAAAGCCCUUUCAGUGGGGAAGAAGGACUUAGGUAGUAACUGGCCUAAGUUUGACGGUACCCACAGAAGAAGCCCCGGCUAACUCCGUGCCAGCAGCCGCGGUAAUACGGAGGGGGCGAGCGUUGUUCGGAGUCACUGGGCGUAAAGCGCACGUAGGCGGCCUUGUAAGUCUGGGGUCAAAGGCUACGGCUCAACCGUAGUAAGGCCUCAGAUACUAUGGGGCUAGAGUGCCGGAGAGGGUAGCGGAAUUCCCUGUGUAGC
rnacentral:rRNA from 1 species